rnacentral:rRNA from 1 species
UACAGAGGGUGCGAGCGUUGUCCGGAAUCACUGGGCGUAAAGGGCGCGUAGGUGGCGGCCCAAGUCCAUGGUGAAAGCUCGAUGCUCAACAUCGAGUCGGCCACGGAUACUGGGUUGCUCGAGCACUGGUAGGGGCAGAUGGAAUUCCGGGUGUAGCGGUGGAAUGCGUAGAGAUCCGGAAGAACACCGGUGGCGAAGGCGGUCUGCUGGGCAGUUGC